GUGCUCGCUUCGGCAGCACAUAUACUAAAAUUGGAACGAUACAGAGAAGAUUAGCAUGGCCCCUGCACAAAUGAAUGACUAUCUUGUAUCUGUAGGUUCAAAAUAGUUAA
ensembl:snRNA U6 U6 spliceosomal RNA